GGAACGUGCAGCUCGUCUGGAGUUUCUCCAGUCUCCGAGAGAAGGAGGUUACUGAGGAAUGGACUUUCUGAUCGCCAAGGUUUCCCACUUUACAGCUGGGGAAACUGAGGCUCGCAGAGGUUACAUCACAGCUGAGAGUUACGUCAUAAUAGAUCAUGGGCACAUAGCAAGUGCCUCCUGACUUUGCCCACAGGGAUUGAGUGCCUCUGUCAUCUUUGUCAUCUCCCCAGCCCCCUGCUUCCAGCUGUGCUAGGCUUGGCCCCUCCCUCCAGAAGCAGGCUGCACCUGGUCCCACAGGUUAUCACACCAGGACAGAGGAGAGAGUUCCAGAGGCCGGGGCCUCCGUUUACUCUCCUACCCUGGCCGAGCCACCAUCAUCACUCCUAUCCUACCUCCUCGAACCCUGAAACCCAAGGAGAUGCCCAUCUCCUUAUCGCCUUUUGAUCUACAUUGGAGGAAGAGAGGCCCAAGUGAAGUGGAAGGACUGGGCCUUGUGUGUGCCUUAUCCAGCUCAAAGGCGUCACCAGCUCCAAGACAGCGUGACUAGAAUUUGGAAGUCAUCCUUCGUGUCAACUCCCUACACCGUCCAACUGGCCACCAAGCCCCAUCCUUUCUGCAGCAUGAGUGGUUUGAAAGUACCCGCUUUUCUUUAUACUCGGAUUGCUCCAGACUCAACUGAGGGCUUUUUAAGCCAGUCCCUGAGACUACUGCAACAAAGACUGGUUCCCCUGGCUCCAGGGGAGCACACCCCUGACACCCCCUCCCCCGUCCUUCCUCUGUGCUUCACUGAGAGGCAGUUCAGAACACAGGUUGGAACAUGCCACUCUCAUGCUCAAAAACCUUUGAUGGCUCCCCAUUGCCAGCAGGAUAAAGCCCCAACGUUGCCUGGCAUUUACAGCCUGCCCUGAUCUCGUGCCAGCCUGGGCCCCCACUACACGCUUCACCCCCUUCCACUCCAGCCACAUCCAGUGGCUUGUUUCGCCCGAGUCCUGCUGAGCGCUUUCAUGACGACCACCUUGGCUCACAGACAGGCUUGUUCCCGGCCCUUCUGGUGUUGUGAGGGAGAAAGAUUAAUCACAUAAUCCCAUA